CUAAGUGGCGGACGGGUGAGUAAUGUAUAGUUAAUCUGCCCUUUAGAGGGGGAUAACAGUUGGAAACGACUGCUAAUACCCCAUACUCCUUUUACAUUAAUUGUAAUUGGGAAACGUUUUUUCGCUAAAGGAUGAGACUAUAUGGUAUCAGGUAGUUGGUGGGGUAAGGGCCCACCAAGCCAAUGACGCCUAGCUGGUCUGAGAGGAUGAUCAGCCACACUGGAACUGAGACACGGUCCAG
rnacentral:rRNA from 1 species